AUGGAGAACAUGCUGGAAUGUGCCUUCAUAGUCUUGUGGCUUCAGUUUGGCUGGUUGAGUGCAGAAGACCAGGUGGAGCAGCGUCCUCAGACCCUGAGACUCCAGGAGGGAGACAGUCUCAGCCUCGGCUGCAGUUACACGGUCAGCUCUUUUAGAGGGCUGCAGUGGUACAGGCAGGAUCCUGGGAAAGGCCCUGAACUGCUCUUCCUCCUGUAUUCAGUUGGGGAAUCAAAGCAGAAAGAAAGACUAAAAGCCACACUGUCAAAGAUGGGAAGUUCUCUGCACAUCACAGACUCCAAACCUGAAGACUCAGCCACUUACCUCUGUGCUGUGGAGACACAGUGCUCCCCAGGCACCUGCAAGCCUGCACCAAAACCCUGCAGCUGGGGCUCUAGAAUAAGGGCAUCUCUGUGGUUUUUCCUCCUCAAAGAAUUUUUUGCUUAG